CUAGAAUAAAGUAGGCAGGAGAAGAUGGAAAAAGUAGACUUCAGUCUUCUGGCUUUCAUCUUUCUCUAGUGCUGGAUGCUUCCUGCCCUUGGACAAUCAGACUCCAAGUUCUUUAGCUUUUGGACUCUUGGACUUAGACACCAGUGGUUUGCCAGGGGCUCUUGGGCCUUUGGCCACAGACCGAAGCUUGCACUGUUGACUUCCCUACUUUUGAGGUUUUGGGAUUCAGACUGGCUUCCCUGCUCCUCAACUUGCAGAUGGCCUAUUGUUAGACUUCACCUGUGGUCAUAAAUUAGGAAGAGUUCCUGAUUGCAUACGGAACAUUAGACCGACCAUAAGAAAACCCUCAGAAGUGGAUGCCUUCAAUGGUAGACACUUUGCAACAUUCGCGUCCGCGCGGCACAUGCUGUGUUCAUCACCAUGGUGGGACCUCACAUUCUGUGAUGAGACAAACUUCCAUUCCUUUUCUCUCAUUAUGCUUAUCAAAGCUCUCUAUUUCUUGGUCCUAAUUCUGGCUUUUAGUUUUUGCAAAAAGGAUUGCAAACACUAAUUAAACCGUGGCGGCAGCAUUUUUGUUUGUUUGAGACAGAGUUUUAUUCUUGUUGCCCAGGCUGGAGGGCAGUGGCACGAUCUCAGCUCACUGCAACCUCCGCCUCUUGGGUUGAAGAGAUGCUCCUCCCUCAGUCUCCCAAGCAGCUGGGAUUGCAGGCACCUGCCACCACGCCUGGCUAAUUUUUUGUAUUUUUAUAGAGAUGGGGUUUCACCACGUUGGUCAGGCUGGUCUUGAACUCCUGACUUCAGGUGAUCUGUCCGCCUCGGCCUCCCAAAG
rnacentral:lncRNA from 10 species